rnacentral:rRNA from 1 species
UACGUAGGGUCCGAGCGUUGUCCGGAAUUACUGGGCGUAAAGAGCUCGUAGGUGGUUUGUCGCGUUGUUCGUGAAAACUCACAGCUCAACUGUGGGCGUGCGGGCGAUACGGGCAGACUUGAGUACUGCAGGGGAGACCGGAAUUCCUGGUGUAGCGGUGGAAUGCGCAGAUAUCAGGAGGAACACCGGUGGCGAAGGCGGGUCUCUGGGCAGUAACUGACGCUGAGGAGCGAAAGCGUGGGGAGCGAACAGG